rnacentral:rRNA from 1 species
GAUGAACGCUGACAGAAUGCUUAACACAUGCAAGUCGAUGGGGAAGUGGUGCUUGCACCAUGGUAACCAUGGCGGACGGGUGAGUAACGCGUAAGGAACUUACCUGCGGGACCGGGAUAACAGCAGGAAACUGCUGACAAGACCGGAUAAGGUCAUUAAGCUGCAUAGCUUAGCGAUGAAAGGAGACGCCUGCGGAGAGCCUUGCGUCCUAUUAGCUAGUUGGAGGGGUAACGGCCCACCAAGGCGAAGAUAGGUAGCCGGCCUGAGAGGGUGGACGGCCACAAGGGGACUGAGAUACGGCCCUUACUCCUACGGGAGGCAGCAGUGGGGAAUAUUGGACAAUGGGGGCAACCCUGAUCCAGCAAUUCUGUGUGCACGAAGACGGUUUUCGGAUUGUAAAGUGCUUUCAGCAGGGAAGAAGGAAGUGACGGUACCUGCAGAAGAAGCGACGGCUAAAUACGUG